GCCGCCGCGCUCGCCUGACCUGCGUGCCCCGCUGGCCGCGCCGGGCUGCCCCGAAGGAUGUCCGCCCAGUCCAAGGGGACCGCAUCCUCCUCCUCCUCGCCGUCCGAGGGGCCGCCGGCAGCCUCCAAAACCAAGGUGAAGGAGCAGAUCAAGAUCAUCGUGGAGGAUUUGGAAUUAGUCCUGGGGGACCUGAAAGAUGUCGCCAAGGAACUUAAGGAGGUGGUUGACCAGAUUGACACACUGACAUGUGAUCUGCAGCUGGAGGAUGAGAUGACAGACAGCUCCAAAACAGACACCCUGAACAGCAGCUCCAGCAGCACGACGGCCUCCAGCCUGGAGAAGGUGAAGGUGCGUGGCAGCGCGCCGCUCAUCAAGCCGCCCGCGCACCCGUCCGCCAUCCUCACCGUGCUGCGCAAGCCCAACCCGCCGCCUCCUCCGCCUCGCCUGACGCCCGUCAGGUGCGAUGAGCCCCCCAGGCUGCCUCCCUUGGCCAACCCGCUCAAGACCAAUGGCACCCUGCUGCGGAACGGGGGCCUGCCCGCGGCGCCGGGCCGCGUCCCCAACGGGGAUGUGUGCUGUGUGCCCGGCAGCGGCCUGGAGAAGGCGGUGAUGCCGCCCCUGGCACACAGGGCCGAGAAGGAGCGGUGUGCCCAGGCCGGAGCCAGGGAGCGAGUGCGGUUCAGCGAGAAGGUGCAGUACCAUGGGUACUGCCCCGACUGUGACGUUCGCUACAACAUCAAAAACAGAGAGGUGCACUUGCACAGCGAGCCCGCCCGGGCUGCGGGAAAGCUGCCACACCAGUGCCCUCCUCUGCCGCCUCCUCCGCCUCCACUGCCUCCGUUUCUUCUGGAAAAUGGAGGGUUGGGGAUAAGUCCCAGUAAUAGCUUUCCUCCUCCAAGACCUGCAACUGUGCCUCCACAAACUGCGCCAAAACCCCAGAAGACCAUCUUGAGGAAAUCAACCACUACAACAGUGUGAAGUAUGCCCCUUGUAAUAACUCUUUGUUUUUUCCUAUAUAUAAACAUAAAUAGGUAAUGAGCACUUUCUACUUGAGCAAUAAAAAGACCCAAUGUAUUACACCCUGUGUCCAGUGAAGUGGCAUAAAAAUCACAUGAGUCCUCCUAGACAGAGCUGGCAGAGCAAAUCAGAUAUUCCACUUUACAGAAAACUGUGCUAGCAACUCGGGAGCAAGCCUGCAGCGUAGUUCCUGAGUUUGAAACAUGUUCUGCACCAGAAGCUGACUUCUCACAAGCUACAGAGGAGGUGAAGUGUUCUGACUCUUUAACUUCUCUCCCCCCAGUCCUUUGAAAGCCACAUUCUCUUGCGGAUGAGUGGAGUUACCUGACACUCAUUGCAGCAACAAAGGCAGCUGAGCCAACCCUUCUCUCCUGGACACCUUCAGGCUUGAAGGAAUAUCUAUAUUUGGAGGCACGUCAAUUAAUUUGCGUAUCAGAUUCAUCAUUGUGACUUCUUGCAGGCCAGAUCUGAGAAGUAACCAGGAAACCUGACCCUUAGUGGAGAAUGGAAGAACCCUUGAAGUCAGAGCACAACUGAGCACUAGUGUAAUCUGCAUUGAAUCAUCUUUCUCAGAUCUGACAGCUACAAGCUGAGUCCUGGCAACAGCCACAGCCUUAAAUUCCAUUGAGUGGGAAAGAAGGAUAAGAGAGCUCAAUGUUUUGCCCCGUUGCAGAAACUGCUGUUUCCAGGCCUAACACCUGAGUCCUGUGCUGAGCAACGAGAGUACCAAACAAGGAGUUUUUUAUGGGUACAGCCAGCAUCAACAAAUAUUUCAAUAUGUAGCCAAAAGGAAAAAGGAAGCACUUAAGUAAUAUCAGAAAAUGGAUGCAUUUAUUGUAACAGAGAAAUGUUACUGUCCGUGGGGAAGAAGACCUCUGUCGUCCCUUGUAUAUAUUCAAAGCCAUACAGGAACAGGGCAUAAGUGAAGUCACUUAAAAGGAUGCUGUCUCCUGUCCUCCACCCGACUUUGAGGAAGUUCCACUCUUAGAGAUUGCAUCUCGAUGCACUUCUGUUAUUUGCACUGUCACUUCCAUUCAGGGUAAUGAUGUGUGCCACCAUUUGCACAGAUGACCCCAGGAGAUUUUUGACCACAACAAGCUAUACUUUGCCAGGGCUCCAAAUGGAAUUAAAAAGUUAGAACUGAAGAAAGACAUUUAUGCUCUCUUUUACUAUGGGGAUCUCUUCACAGAAAGGAUUAUGGUCCUUUCUUAGGAUGAAAUAAAUACAUGCAUAUACAUACAUAUAUACAUAUGUAUAUAUAUGAAAAAGCAGCAACAUGAUAAGGUGUAUUUAAAAAGGGGAUAUAAUCUUUUUUAAUAGCAUCCAUUUUUUUUAUCAUAUUAGCAGCCGAGAAGUUUAAGCUAUCGAAUUAUACAUCAAAAAAUGUUCCUGUUGAACAUUGACAUUUAGUCCCAGUUACUGCUAAAGAAGUCAUUUGUAAUAUGUACUUGACAUAAAAUUUUUCUAGCCAUUUGUCUAUACUUCAUGGAGAAAUCUAACAGACAAGCAACAUUUUCAGUUUAUUUUUCUAAAUAAAUGUGUUGUUUGUAUUAUUUGCAGUCACUCAUUUUGGCUGUUUUUCAUUAUCUCCAAAAGUGAUUUAAAGACAGAACCAAAACACAGGGAUUGUUUGUUCUUGUUAAGCUGUAAUGAUUUGCUGAAUGAAAGCUUUAAUAUAAAUACUGUAAUUUGUAAAAUGAUGAAGUAUAUUUAUAUAGGCAAAUAUGUAUGGAAAACAAAAGGAGGUAUUUUAACUCUUAAUUUCAGAACAUAGUUUAUUUUAAUAUCCACAGGAAGAAAUUAAAUAUAUAAUGGGAUAGGGUUUUUAUUAUCAAUGAGUUUUACUAAGUGAAAAUUUGGAUGUUUAAGAAUGAAAUGAAUGUAGUCAAAUAAUGGUGGUUUCCCAAAUUAUAAAAAGACCUUUUGCCAGUUGUCUCAUUUUACUGAAAAACUGAUUUAAUCAUCGGGGGUUGGGUUUUUCUGGGGGGGUGUGUGUGCUAAGGUUUUUGUUUGGUGUUUUCUUUGUUUUGGCAUACUGACAGGACCAUGAAUUUGAUACUAUUUGCUCGUAAUUUGAAAAGCUACAGAAUAAAAGAUUGUUUCUUAGAACAAUCUACAGUUUGCAGUUAAGAAGAGUCAUUGUUAUCAAACUAAUGCAGUGUUUUGUUGUAGAGUUAUUGAACAUUUCAAUGCUAGAGCUGUUUUGAAUAAAUUUUUUUUCCUUUUUUUCUUAGUCCAUUAGCCUAUGUGUAAUUCAAAGAGAAAAGUAAUGCAUUUGGUUCCCAGUUCACUUAAAUAAUUUGUCUUAAGUCCAGUUAUAUGUAUCUGAUUUUUAAAAAGCUGAAUAGCUUUUUGUUUUUUUCCAGUUCAUCGCUUUAUGGAAGCAUUUUAGUGCUCACUAACAGAAAAAAUACCUUUCAACAACAGAAAUAAUUUUCAAAAAAUCUGUGGGUUAACCUUGUGAAGGGCAGAUGUCUUAAAAAUGUGUUGCUCUGCUCCAAUGUGCUAACAAGUGUAAUGCGUGUGUGUUUGUGUGUGCGUGUGCACACAUGGCACCCUCACCUGCUCAUGAGUGAAAUGCCAGCUCUGCUGAAGUAAGUGCCACAAGUCCUGUUACUGGAAAAGAUGCUCUUGCUACUGUAUUCUUUGGUGAAAGACCUGACCUCUGUCUUUGCUUGUGACUCUGAAGCCAUAAACAGCUUUUGAAGUUUGUCAGGAAAUCAGAAAAUUAAGUAAGUUUAUGUUAGGCUCCCUCAUUUGGCAAAAAUUGGGAUGAUCUUAUGAUUUGACUCUUUUUAUGAAAGUUAAGUGGUCAACUUCCUUUGGUGCAAUGGAUAAAUGAAACCUUUGUAUUUGUUAAAGAAUGAUGUCUGUGUUUUGUUCACACACAAUUCAGCUUUUGGCUUAUAGUGUUCUUACUGUGAUGUCAUUCCUGUGUCAUUAGAAUAAGUUAUUUGGACACAUAAGUGGCAUGGGCUUGGUUUUCCUCCUUUUUAGGAUGAUCAGUAUUUUAAAAUUGGAGAGCUUCUUCUUUGAGACAAGUAUUCAGUUGUUUAAGAAGGGGACAACAUUAUUGAAACAAUAAGAAAAUUUCAGAAUAAUAAUUCGAACACUUCCAUCAUUGCCUAAUAAUAACACUUGAAAAAGCUCUUAUUUUUGUGGACAAAAUGCAUUCACCUGUAUUUGAAAAUAGCCCAAUAAAAAUCCAGUGGAAUAA